rnacentral:rRNA from 1 species
AUUGAACGCUGGCGGCAUGCCUUACACAUGCAAGUCGAACGGCAGCACGGGUGCUUGCACCUGGUGGCGAGUGGCGAACGGGUGAGUAAUACAUCGGAACAUGUCCUGUAGUGGGGGAUAGCCCGGCGAAAGCCGGAUUAAUACCGCAUACGAUCUACGGAUGAAAGCGGGGGACCUUCGGGCCUCGCGCUAUAGGGUUGGCCGAUGGCUGAUUAGCUAGUUGGUGGGGUAAAGGCCUACCAAGGCGACGACCAGUAGCUGGUCUGAGAGGACGACCAGCCACACUGGGACUGAGACACGGCCCAGACUCCUACGGGAGGCAGCAGUGGGGAAUUUUGGACAAUGGGCGAAAGCCUGAUCCAGCAAUGCCGCGUGUGUGAAGAAGGCCUUCGGGUUGUAAAGCACUUUUGUCCGGAAAGAAAUCCUUGGCCCUAAUACGGUCGGGGGAUGACGGUACCGGAAGAAUAAGCACCGGCUAACUACGUG